rnacentral:rRNA from 1 species
CAGCACCUCAAGUGGUCAGGAUGAUUAUUGGGCCUAAAGCAUCCGUAGCCGGCUCUGUAAGUUUUCGGUUAAAUCUGUAUGCUCAACAUACAGGCUGCCGGGAAUACUGCAGAGCUAGGAGUGGGAGAGGUAGACGGUACUCGGUAGGAAGGGGUAAAAUCCUUUGAUCUAUUGAUGACCACCUGUGGCGAAGGCGGUCUACCAGAACACGUCCGACGGUGAGGGAUGAAAGCUGGGGGAGCAAACCGGAUUAGAUACCCGAGUAGUCC